AGGGUUUGAUUCUGGCUCAGGACGAACGCUGGCGGCGUGCUUAACACAUGCAAGUCGAACGGAGCACCCUUGAUUGAGGUUUCGGCCAAAUGAUAGGAAUGCUUAGUGGCGGACUGGUGAGUAACGCGUGAGGAACCUGCCUUUCAGAGGGGGACAACAGUUGGAAACGACUGCUAAUACCGCAUGAUGCGUAACUGGGACAUCCCGGAUACGCCAAAGAUUUUAUCGCUGAAAGAUGGCCUCGCGUCUGAUUAGAUAGUUGGCGGGGUAACGGCCCACCAAGUCGACGAUCAGUAGCCGGACUGAGAGGUUGACCGGCCACAUUGGGACUGAGAUACGGCCCAG
rnacentral:rRNA from 1 species